GACGAACGCUGGCGGUGUGCCUCAUACAUGCAAGUCGAACGAGAAGCAGGAGCUUGCUCCUGUGGAAAGUGGCGGACGGGUGAGUACAACAUAGGAAAUCUGCCUUAGGGUGGGGGACAACAGAGGGAAACUUCUGCUAAUACCCCAUAUGAGCUUGGUUGAAAUACCAAUCUUGAAAGUUCCGGCGCCCUAAGAUGAGCCUGUGCCUGAUUAGCUAGUUGGUGGUGUAAUGGACUACCAAGGCGACGAUCAGUAGCUGGUUUGAGAGGAUGAUCAGCCACAAUGGGACUGAGACACGGUCCAA
rnacentral:rRNA from 1 species